ensembl:lncRNA
UGAUCUUCUGUUGUGUUUCCCUGUGCCUUUGCUCACCGGAAGGACAGCAGCUGUCUCUGCACGAGGAUGUGUGCCUGGCAGGAUCGGUGCUUAUGGGGGCUGUGAGUGCUGCUCAAGGACCCGUGCUGCACAGCUGAUGUCCUGCAGCAGGGCCGGUCUCCGGCCUCAGAGCUGACAGCAGCCACAGCACAGCUGGCAUUGCUCCAAGUCCAAAGCCAGAGGAAACCUCGCCAUCACGGAAUCAUCGGGUUUGGAAAAGAGCGGCACAGCUUAGACUGAGAGAUCUUCACCUCUUCAGCGCAGAGCACACCGUUCACCCAGCAGCCCCUUACACAGGGCAGUGAGCUGAAGGAAGUGGCUGCGGUCUUGUUUGUGCUGAGCCGUCCUGCUCGUUCCGCAC